CAGCGAUAAGACAACGAUGAAGCACCAUAACUUGAUUUCACACUUGCAAUCAGCUCAUUCUGACAUUAUGCAUAGAGGCGGGAUCUAAAUAUCUGCAUGUGAUGAGAUUGCGCUUUCAUCUGUGACACCCCCAGUUUGGCAUCUUCCUAAUCUCUGCUCAACCAUCCAGUUGGACAACGUCUGCAAAGAGAAAGUGAUUUUCAGGCAUCGGUAGAUAUUUUGCAUCCCAUGGCACUAGGUGUAUCAUAUUAUGAACUUUCAGUUAGUACUUUAGUUGGUUUCCAUACUUCCUAUUCGUACU